rnacentral:rRNA from 1 species
GACGAACGCUGGCGGCGUGCUUAACACAUGCAAGUCGAACGCUGAAGCUCAGCUUGCUGGGUGGAUGAGUGGCGAACGGGUGAGUAACACGUGAGUAACCUGCCCUCUUCUUUGGGAUAACGCCCGGAAACGGGUGCUAAUACUGGAUAUUCACUGAUUCUCGCAUGGGGGUUGGUGGAAAGGUUUUUUCUGGUGGGGGAUGGGCUCGCGGCCUAUCAGCUUGUUGGUGGGGUGAUGGCCUACCAAGGCUUUGACGGGUAGCCGGCCUGAGAGGGUGACCGGUCACAUUGGGACUGAGAUACGGCCCAGACUCGUACGGGAGGCAGCAGUGGGGAAUAUUGCACAAUUGGCGAAAGCCUGAUGCAGCGACGCCGCGUGAGGGAUGGAGGCCUUCGGGUUGUAAACCUCUUUCGCUCAUGGUCAAGCCGCAGCGUUGGGUUGUGGUGAGGGUAGUGGGUAAAGAAGCGCCGGCUAACUACGUG